rnacentral:rRNA from 1 species
UACGUAGGGGGCAAGCGUUGUCCGGAAUCAUUGGGCGUAAAGAGCGCGUAGGCGGUCCGGUAAGUCCGCUGUGAAAGUCGGGGGCUCAACCCUCGAAAGCCGGUGGAUACUGUCGGGCUAGAGUGCGGAAGAGGCGAGUGGAAUUCCUGGUGUAGCGGUGAAAUGCGCAGAUAUCAGGAGGAACACCAAUUGCGAAGGCAGCUCGCUGGGACGUUACUGACGCUGAGACGCGAAAGCGUGGGGAGCAAACAGG